UGAAAUGGUCUGGUUGAGAGAGGGGAGC
rnacentral:piRNA from 1 species